UACAGAGGUGGCAAGCGUUGUUCGGAAUUACUGGGCGUAAAGGGCGCGUAGGCGGCCAUCUAAGUCAGACGUGAAAUCCCCCGGCUUAACCUGGGAACUGCGUCUGAUACUGGAAGGCUUGAGUAUGGGAGAGGGAUGUAGAAUUCCAGGUGUAGCGGUGAAAUGCGUAGAUAUCGUUUGGAACGCCAAUGGUGAAAACAGGUAGCUGGGAGUGUGCCGACGCUGAGACACGAAAGCCAGGGGAGCGAACGGG
rnacentral:rRNA from 1 species